rnacentral:rRNA from 1 species
AAGAAGGCCUUCGGGUUGUAAAGCACUUUCAGUCGUGAGGAAGGUAGUUGCGUUAAUAGCGUAAUUAUUUGACGUUAGCGACAGAAGAAGCACCGGCUAACUCCGUGCCAGCAGCCGCGGUAAUACGGAGGGUGCGAGCGUUAAUCGGAAUUACUGGGCGUAAAGCGCAUGCAGGUGGUUUGUUAAGUCAGAUGUGAAAGCCCGGGGCUCAACCUCGGAAUUGCAUUUGAAACUGGCAGACUAGAGUACUGUAGAGGGGGGUAGAAUUUCAGGUGUAGCGGUGAAAUGCGUAGAGAUCUGAAGGAAUACCGGUGGCGAAGGCGGCCCCCUGGACAGAUACUGACACUCAGAUGCGAAAGCGUGGGGAGCAAACAGGAUUAGAUACCCUGGUAGUCCACGCCGUAAACGAUGUCUACUUGGAGGUUGUGGCCUUGAGCCGUGGCUUUCGGAGCUAACGCGUUAAGUAGACCGCCUGGGGAGUACGGUCGCAAGAUUAAAACUCAAAUGAAUUGACGGGGGCCCGCACAAGCGGUGGAGCAUGUGGUUUAAUUCGAUGCAACGCGAAGAACCUUACCUACUCUUGACAUCCAGAGAAGCCAGCGGAGACGCAGGUGUGCCUUCGGGAACUCUGAGACAGGUGCUGCAUGGCUGUCGUCAGCUCGUGUUGUGAAAUGUUGGGUUAAGUCCCGCAACGAGCGCAACCCUUAUCCUUGUUUGCCAGCGAGUAAUGUCGGGAACUCCAGGGAGACUGCCGGUGAUAAACCGGAGGAAGGUGGGGACGACGUCAAGUCAUCAUGGCCCUUACGAGUAGGGCUACACACGUGCUACAAUGGCGCAUACAGAGGGCUGCCAACCAGCGAUGGUGAGCGAAUCCCAAAAAGUGCGUCGUAGUCCGGAUUGGAGUCUGCAACUCGACUCCAUGAAGUCGGAAUCGCUAGUAAUCGUGGAUCAGAAUGCCACGGUGAAUACGUUCCCGGGCCUUGUACACACCGCCCGUCACACCAUGGGAGUGGGCUGCAAAAGAAGUGGGUAGUUUAACCCUUUUCGAGGAGGACGCUCACCACU